GUGGGGAAUCUUGCGCAAUGGGGGAAACCCUGACGCAGCAACGCCGCGUGGGUGAUGAAGGCCUUCGGGUCGUAAAGCCCUGUCAGGUGGGAAGAAACUUGUGGAUGUUAAUACCGUCCACACUUGACGGUACCAUCGGAGGAAGCACCGGCUAACUCCGUGCCAGCAGCCGCGGUAAUACGGAGGGUGCAAGCGUUGUUCGGAAUUAUUGGGCGUAAAGCGCGUGUAGGUGGUCAGGUAAGUCAGAUGUGAAAGCCUUCUGCUUAACAGAAGAAGUGCAUUUGAAACUGCUUGGCUAGAGUACGGGAGAGGAGAGUGGAAUUCCCGGUGUAGAGGUGAAAUUCGUAGAUAUCGGGAGGAACACCAGUGGCGAAGGCGGCUCUCUGGUCCGAUACUGACGCUGAGACGCGAAAGCGUGGGGAGCAAACAGGAUUAGAAACCCUAGUAGUCC
rnacentral:rRNA from 1 species